GGAGCUAACGCGUUAAAUCGACCGCCUGGGGAGUACGGCCGCAAGGUUAAAACUCAAAUGAAUUGACGGGGGCCCGCACAAGCGGUGGAGCAUGUGGUUUAAUUCGAUGCAACGCGAAGAACCUUACCUACUCUUGACAUCCAGAGAACUUUCCAGAGAUGGAUUGGUGCCUUCGGGAACUCUGAGACAGGUGCUGCAUGGCUGUCGUCAGCUCGUGUUGUGAAAUGUUGGGUUAAGUCCCGCAACGAGCGCAACCCUUAUCCUUUGUUGCCAGCGGUUCGGCCGGGAACUCAAAGGAGACUGCCAGUGAUAAACUGGAGGAAGGUGGGGAUGACGUCAAGUCAUCAUGGCCCUUACGAGUAGGGCUACACACGUGCUACAAUGGCAUAUACAAAGAGAAGCGACCUCGCGAGAGCAAGCGGACCUCAUAAAGUAUGUCGUAGUCCGGAUUGGAGUCUGCAACUCGACUCCAUGAAGUCGGAAUCGCUAGUAAUCGUAGAUCAGAAUGCUACGGUGAAUACGUUCCCGGGCCUUGUACACACCGCCCGUCACACCAUGGGAGUGGGUUGCAAAAGAAGUAGGUAGCUUAACCUUCGGGAGGGCGCUUACCACUUUGUGAUUCAUGACUGGGGUGAAGUCGUAACAAGGUAGCCGUA
rnacentral:rRNA from 1 species